UGGGGAAUUUUGGACAAUGGGGGCAACCCUGAUCCAGCCAUGCCGCGUGAGUGAAGAAGGCCUUCGGGUUGUAAAGCUCUUUCGGCCGGGAAGAAAUCGCAUGGGCUAAUACCCUGUGCGGAUGACGGUACCGGCAUAAGAAGCACCGGCUAACUACGUGCCAGCAGCCGCGGUAAUACGUAGGGUGCGAGCGUUAAUCGGAAUUACUGGGCGUAAAGCGUGCGCAGGCGGUUUUGUAAGACAGGCGUGA
rnacentral:rRNA from 1 species